rnacentral:lncRNA from 1 species
CUUGUCAUUGCAUUACAGCAUUACAAAAGAAAAUGAAAUUCUAGGUUAAUUCAAGGCUCAAAAUAGCGUUUCUCUUGCAAUAUGCAUUACUCUUUCCUUGCCACUUUCUUCUCUCCCUGUUCUACGUGGAAUAUUCCAUUCAUUACUGCUUAAGAAAUCAGUUGUUUUGCAGCUAACAAAUGCUGAAAUGAUGUUACAGGAAAAAUGCUUGCUUGUAACCUUAACUAUUUUUGAGCAAAAGCUUAAUUUUAGAAAUUGUAACAAGCUAAGAGAAGCUGAACUGAGAUUUUUUUGCUGUAAAAUAAUUUCGUAGUGCAUUUCAUCAAAUGAAUCCCUAUGACUCUUAUGUGUUAGGUAAUCCUGAAAGAGGAGUAUGUGAAACAGACUAUGAGGAGGCACUUAACUGGGGAACCUGGCUCACAUUCUACUGUUUUGACUAUUCAGUAAGAGUGCUUCUCGUUUGAGAUGAUCUUUUGCUGGGACUGAAAAUAAGCCUCUUAAAUGUUUGGAAAAAUACCUGAAACAAUGGAUUGUUUAUGCAUUGUGACGACCAAGGUACAGAGAGAUUAGGAUCAGAUAACGAUCCCAGUGAGCAGAAAAAUGAUUCAUACAAAAAGUUCAGACAUUUGAAAAUUGAUUCUGGCAAGGCAGAAUUGUGUUUCAGCCAGCACUGCCCUAUGAGAGCAAACACUUAAACAAGUCCAGUGUUCACAGCACUGCUGCACGGAAGAGGAAGAGAUCGUCCUCUCUCCAACAGAAGCCUUUAGAUUGGCUUAGGCUGAUCGUGCAUCUCCACCUGGAGUUACCUACCACCUCUUAAUCCUUCCUGGCUGUUUAACAUGAGGUUCUGGCCUCACUUAGUUAAAUGUUACUGUACUGCCUGGCAUCUUCAUCUGAAGCUGUUUAUUUAAAUUGAAGCUUAUAAAAUACUGUGUACUUCUCUGUGAACAUCAGAGUACUCGAAAGCUGUAAUCUAAUAAAAAAUACAUUCCUUAAUGUUGUGUGCAGAACUACUUCUCUGAUGUAAAUUAAUGCAUGUGACAUUUGAAAUCAGCAUUGAAGAAAUGCAUGAUAUGAUUAGAAGUACUGUUAAAUACUUCCCUUUCCUAUUAACAGUGAAAAAAUUUUGAAACAAUUAAUUGUUACUUUUUAUUUCAGUGUAGCAAAA